rnacentral:rRNA from 1 species
UACAGAGGGUGCAAGCGUUGUUCGGAUUCACUGGGCGUACAGGGAGCGUAGGCGGUUGGGUAAGCCCUCCGUGAAAUCUCCGGGCCUAACCCGGAAAGUGCAGAGGGGACUGCUCAGCUAGAGGAUGGGAGAGGAGCGCGGAAUUCCCGGUGUAGCGGUGAAAUGCGUAGAGAUCGGGAGGAAGGCCGGUGGCGAAGGCGGCGCUCUGGAACAUUUCUGACGCUGAGGCUCGAAAGCGUGGGGAGCAAACAGG